CCGAGUGCUCUCCGUCCUGUGAGCUCUCCAAAUGCCAGCUUGCUCAGCUGAUUCACUUUGACGCAGGCAGGUUCAUCAGAAAGCCUUGGAACAGACCCCAGUACUGGUCCAAGCCCUGAAGACUGCACCCAGGAAAGUGGAGGUAUGGACAGAGGCAGCCGGUGCCUGAGGAAGCUCCACGGGGCAGGCAAGGCCCCCACGUCCAGUCUCAGCCCCUCUUUUGGCCACAUGCCGGAGAAGGAAAUUUUGUGCCUUGAAUAAUGAAUCCCCCUGGAGCCCACGGUACCUGUACUUCUCUUUAGUGUCCACUGAGAAUAACGUGUUCGACAUUCAAGUGACAACACUGGAAAGCAUUUCAAAGCCCUGGAGCCCCAGAACGCUGUACACCCCGACGGCUCUUCUGCCUGCCCUCUCUUUGGCUUCCAAAUGCAGCAAGCUCUUUCUUUACUUAAAAUGUGUUCAUCUUUCACACGCAUCCUGGAUGUACCACAGAAAGACAGUACAGAUAGGCAGGCUCUUAUUUCUGAAGCUGAGCUGGUCCCGCCCAGCACAAAGCUUUAAAGCUGCUAAGGCUCCAGGAUAUUAUCCAGUUUUUAAAAAUGGAAAAACUGGGAACAGGGAGGCUCAAUAUCUUGUCCCAGGCCCAAACAGGCUUUUCUGGAGUCAGUAUCAUUCAACUGGCUCAGGCUGGAUUUUCAUAAGAAAAGAUAAUAAACAUUUACUAAUGUAAUAAAAUAGACACCUUUUAAGUCACAAGCAGUAUCCAAACCUUUGGGACAUUCUAUGGUGCUGAACAGCUAUUUCAUAGAGGCUUUAUGUUAAGGAGCAAGUGCAGAAAAAAAUCUGAAAAUCUCAGUAAGAUGAGAAAACGAAAGCUUUACAAAAUGGUAGAAGAAAGUAGUCUCUCAUGCCUAAACUUCCAAAUAAGUUUUUGUUUGUUUGUUUUGGGUUUUUAGUUGAGCAUUCUUUCUGGUUUGAAAUAGAUUCAGAAGGCUUUUUAAAACAAGUCACUUUUGGCCAAAUAUAUUAAGGUAUAACCAAAUGAUACCAUAGAUCCAUUUAGAAAACAGAAAGUUCUUUACUGACAUGAAAGGAUUUCUAAGACAUAUUCAUAAGUAAAAAAGCAAAUAUACUACUAUUUGUAUGGGAUGAAAAAAUAAAAGAAACAUGUAUAUACAUACUUGUUUGUAUAUGCAUAGACUAUCUCUCUGGGUGGAUG
rnacentral:lncRNA from 1 species